GCACCUUGCGCUUUUAAAACACUGGGAACAAUACAGAGAAGAAUAGCAUGGCCCCUAUGCAAGGAUGAUAUGCACAAAUUGUGAAGUGGUCCAAAUUUUG
rnacentral:snRNA from 1 species